CAUGUGUUAAUGGGUAACUGGGGAAACAAACACCAUAAUUUUGAACACCCCCCCACUUUCUCCUUCUUCUGUCAUCUUUUAUGGCUGACUAUGACAUCACAUGGUAUGGAAUAUACCUUCAGUCACUUGCGGUCAGCUGCCCCAGCUGUGUUCCCUCCCAACUUCUUGUGAACCCCCCAGCUACUUGCUGGUAGGGCCGUGUGAGAAACAAGAGAAGGCAUUGACACUCUGCAAGUGCUCUUCAGUAAUAACUAAACCAUUGGUGUAUUAUCAACAUUGUUUCAGUUACAAAUCCAAAACAGAGCACCAUACAAGCUCCUAUGAAGAAAAUUAACUACAUCUCAGACAAACCAGUAUACAUGUUUAAUCUUGGCCAGAUUGUUAUGUACAGUAUGAGUAUGAAUAUUUGAGAAGACCCUUACUAUGUUCAGAAAGGAGAAAUAGAAAAGGAUUAUCUUCCCUUGGGCUUAACAUCACAAGUACAGGAUCCUUCCAGUGGUGUAAGUACACAGCCCUUCAUGUUUUAAA